rnacentral:rRNA from 1 species
CAUGGCCCUUACGAGUAGGGCUACACACGUGCUACAAUGGCGCAUACAGAGGGCAGCCAACUUGCGAAAGUGAGCGAAUCCCAAAAAGUGCGUCGUAGUCCGGAUUGGAGUCUGCAACUCGACUCCAUGAAGUCGGAAUCGCUAGUAAUCGUAGAUCAGAAUGCUACGGUGAAUACGUUCCCGGGCCUUGUACACACCGCCCGUCACACCAUGGGAGUGGGCUGCAAAAGAAGUGGGUAGUUUAACCUUCGGGAGGACGCUCACCACUUUGUGGUUCAUGACUGGGGUGAAGUCGUAACAAGGUAGCCCUAGGGGAACCUGGGGCUGGAUCACCUCCUUAUACGAA